rnacentral:lncRNA from 1 species
GGAGUGCAGUGGUGCAAUCCCAGCUCACUGCAACCUCCGCCUCUCAGGUUCAAGUGAUUCUCCUACUUCACCCUCCCAAGUAGCUAGGAUUACAGGCACAUGCCACCAUGCCAGGCAGCUCUGAAUUUCCUUUGUUUGUUUGCUUUCUGAGUUGGGGUCCUCGUUCUGUCACCUAGGCUGGAGCGGACUGGUGCGUUCAUAGCUCACUGCAACUUAAAACUCCUGAGCUCAAGCCAUCCUCCACCUCAGCCUCCUGAUUAGCAGGGACUACAGGUGUGCACCACCAUGCUGGGCCAGCUCCAGAUUUCUUAUGCUCCGCAGGCUGGAGAAGUUAUGGAAGGGAUAUUCUGCAAGAUGAGGACAACUGAUUAUCAGAAGAAGGAAUGAGAACAUGAUCCUGCUUCUCUAGGUGGAUGAAACACAAACAAGAAAGGCAACGUCAGCAUGAACAUGGAGGAGGACGUCUUCGAGGGAGAGCUGGCAGGCAGGUCUAGCACAGACCCGAUGUGUAUCCUGUAGCCUCAAGCUGUCCAGAAAGCUGCCAUCAGCCCUCCCUGAUGUGGGGUGCCGGCUGUCCGGGCUGAGCCACCAAUGCACAAGACACACCCUGGCCCAAAGUGCAUCACUAAGAGCCUCUCACAUUCUUCUGCUUCAAACAGGACCCAGGAGUACCGACUGAGGCAUUCGCCACCUUUAUUUACAGAACAGAUUUUGUCCAGCUUAGGAGUCAUCAGAUAAAGGAAGAAAACAUCUCAUUACAAAGUAGAAUUUCCCUGGAGACUCUCGGUCCCCAUAAAGGUGGUGGUCCUAGGGGGCAACAGAGACAAACUUCAGCAUCAGCAUUUUGACCUCCUUAGGAAAGCUGCUUGAGAGAGUCCAUACUCAGGUAUAAAACUUUCAAGGACAAAUUUAAGGAAAAUGGAAAACUAUUUCUACUUGUGGCUUCCUUACCAAGAACUUUCUCCUUUACAAGAAAAUGACUGCAUUCUGAUGGGAUCUGUGUGUUAAUAGUGAGACAAAAGUAUAAUCACCAUUUUUCAGAGACCCCUGUGGACUUUGACAAUGAGGUGCCAUGGGAGAUGGGCUAUUUUUCUCACAGUAGAGUCCCAAUAGGUGCUUUAUUUUGAAAUGUUCUGCUUACUAUUUUUAAUUAAAAAUACUGUUUACUUUCCUAUUACUACCUUUUUUGUGUUGAAUUUGGAAAAAAAAUACAAUAGACUCAAAGAAGAAAAUCAAAUCACC